GUCUUGGGAAAUCUGUUAAAAUGCAGAUUCUGAUGCAGUAAGUCAGCUGGAAGCUGAGAUUCUGCGUUUUUAACAGAUUCCCAGGCAAUGCUGA
rnacentral:pre_miRNA from 1 species